UACGUAGGGAGCAAGCGUUGUCCGGAAUCAUUGGGCGUAAAGCGCGCGUAGGCGGCCCUGUAAGUCCGUUGCGAAAGUCAAAGGCUCAACCUUUGAAAGCCGGUGGAUACUGUGAGGCUAGAGUACGGAAGAGGCGAGUGGAAUUCCUGGUGUAGCGGUGAAAUGCGCAGAUAUCAGGAGGAACACCGAUGGCGAAGGCAGGUCUCUGGGCCACUACUGACGCUGAGAAGCGAAAGCAUGGGGAGCGAACAGG
rnacentral:rRNA from 1 species